rnacentral:rRNA from 1 species
AGUGAACGCUGGCGGUAGGCCUAACACAUGCAAGUCGAACGGCAGCACAGUAAGAGCUUGCUCUUACGGGUGGCGAGUGGCGGACGGGUGAGGAAUACAUCGGAAUCUACUUUUUCGUGGGGGAUAACGUAGGGAAACGUACGCUAAUACCGCAUACGACCUACGGGUGAAAGCAGGGGAUCUUCGGACCUUGCGCGAUUGAAUGAGCCGAUGUCGGAUUAGCUAGUUGGCGGGGUAAAGGCCCACCAAGGCGACGAUCCGUAGCUGGUCUGAGAGGAUGAUUCGCCACACUGGAACUGAGACACGGUCCCGACUCCUACGGGAGGAAGCAGUGGGGAAUACUGGACAAUGGGCGCAAGCCUGAUCCAGCCCUACCGAGUGGGUGCAGAAGGCCUUAUGGUUGUAAAGCCCUUUUGUUGGGCAAGAAAAGCAGCAGGUUAAUCCCCCGCUGUUCUGACGGUACCCAAAGAAUAAGCACCGGCUAACUUCGUG